rnacentral:rRNA from 1 species
UGCAGUCGAACGGUAACAGGGAUUGCUUGCAAUCCGCUGACGAGUGGCGCACGGGUGCGUAACGCGUAUGCAAUCUGCCUUACACUGGGGGAUAGCCUUUAGAAAUGAAGAUUAAUACCCCAUAGUCUGUGAGUAUCACCUGGUAUUUACAGUAAAGGUUACGGUGUAAGAUGAGCAUGCGUCCUAUUAGUUAGUUGGUAAGGUAACGGCUUACCAAGACGACGAUAGGUAGGGGCCCUGAGAGGGGGAUCCCCCACACUGGUACUGAGACACGGACCAGACUCCUACGGGAGGCAGCAGUGAGGAAUAUUGGACAAUGGGCGAGAGCCUGAUCCAGCCAUGCCGCGUGCAGGAAGACUGCCCUAUGGGUUGUAAACUGCUUUUAUACAGGAAGAAACCUUUCCACGUGUGGAGAGCUGACGGUACUGUAUGAAUAAGCAUCGGCUAACUCCGUGCCAGCAGCCGCGGUAAUACGGAGGAUGCAAGCGUUAUCCGGAAUCAUUGGGUUUAAAGGGUCCGUAGGCGGGCAAUUAAGUCAGGGGUGAAAGUUUGCGGCUCAACCGUAAAAUUGCCUUUGAUACUGGUUGUCUUGAAUUAGUGUGAAGUGGUUAGAAUGAGUAGUGUAGCGGUGAAAUGCAUAGAUAUUACUCAGAAUACCGAUUGCGAAGGCAGAUCACUAACACUAUAUUGACGCUGAUGGACGAAAGCGUGGGGAGCGAACAGGAUUAGAUACCCUGGUAGUCCACGCCGUA